rnacentral:rRNA from 1 species
GACGAACGCUGGCGGCGUGCUUAACACAUGCAAGUCGAACGGAAAGGCCCUGCUUUUGUGGGGUGCUCGAGUGGCGAACGGGUGAGUAACACGUGAGUAACCUGCCCUUGACUUUGGGAUAACUUCAGGAAACUGGGGCUAAUACCGGAUAGGAGCUCCUGCUGCAUGGUGGGGGUUGGAAAGUUUCGGCGGUUGGGGAUGGACUCGCGGCUUAUCAGCUUGUUGGUGGGGUAGUGGCUUACCAAGGUUUUGACGGGUAGCCGGCCUGAGAGGGUGACCGGCCACAUUAGGACUGAGAUACGGCCCAGACUCCUACGUGAGGCAGCAGUGGAGAAUAUUGCACAAUGGGCGCAAGCCUGAUGCAGCAACGCCGCGUGCGUGAUAACGGCCUUCGGGUUGUAAACCGCUUUCGCCUUUGACGAAGCGUGAGUGACGGUAAUGAAUAAAGAAGCACCGGCUAACUACGUG